GGUGAGGGGAAAAGUAAACGAAGGCCCGGGCCGCCUGCUGGGAGGGGAUGGCGCAGCACCUACUGCUGGGUACCCCCCUCACGUCCCCACUUCCUGCACCCCACAUCUCCUACCACUCCGGGAGCAGACCCUCCCGGCUGACCGGGAAUUGGGAGAGAAGGGCGAGAGCGAGAAGGAGGCUUGAAUAGCUAUACACACAUGCUGUGGACGAACUGCAGCUGAUUUCUCUCAUAGGAGCCUUGGAAUUUGGCCUCAUGUGUAUAGCUGAACUUUGGCUGAAGCACUGAGCUGUGAUUAAUGCAAUUAAAUGAGUAAAGGUAUACUACUUAAGGAGAAAUAUUGUAAGAUCAGUGUUGGUGAAUGCUGCAGAUGUCUUCAACAGUCAAGUCUACAGGUGUCCAUAGUGAUAGCAAGGGCUGUUGGAGUCCUUGUUAGUGAUAGCUACUGUGGUCUUUCUGCUCUUUUUUCCUGUGAAGAGAAUUUAUCGCUGAAAUGCAUGUAGGCACAUACAUAGCAGCAGUAGUGGGAUCUGAGGCACAUGAGCACUUGCAGCAGCAGUAGCAUUGGAAUAUAAGGUGUGAGGGUCAUGGAGCUGGGACAGGCACAGGAAUAGUCUUGGAAGUGGAUAUUAUCUCCAACCCCAGAGGAGGUGGGGGCAAAGUUCAGCUCCAGCUCUGGGGGCAAUAUGCUGCAUCUUUAUCACUGUUAUUUUUUAUAGGCAGGAGAAAACAAGGCUAGAGGAAAUUUGGUGUGAAGGAGUAGAACAGACAUAUGGCUUGUUCAAUUGGUUCUUCAGGUUAUUUUUUUCCCCAAGGUUAGUCUAUUCUUGGGAGACAAACAGUUCAGCUAAUCAUUUAUGAGACAGAUAAUGGGAAUUUGGAGUAUCUGUAUCUGGCCUUGUCAUAUAAACCCAAAGAAUUCAUCUACUAGUCUUUAUCUAAAUAAUAUGGGGAGGGGAAAUUCUUUGUGAUAAACCAUUUUCUAGAACACAAAAGGCUGGGGGUAAUUUCUUUCUUGUUUUCUAGGAGCAUAGUACUCUUGUAAACUUUAACAUUGCCAAUCAUUUUCAAGCUGUUAUUAAUAUACAGUAAAAAGGGCCCAGAUUUGGAGAUAGAUUGUUGUAAAGGAAUGUUUAGAGUAAUUUAUCCCUGUAAUAUUUUGGUUAGUUUCACUGAAUGCCAAACUGACAAAUAUAUUGUCCAUUGUUUCCCUGAUGGGAACAGUGUUCCAUCUUCAAAAUCAACAAUAAAAUAUUCUAGAAGUUCUCUCUAUAGAAGGCAGAAUCUUUCACUGUAAUCAUAUACAAAUGUUUUGAGGAAAUUUUAAAUAUAGGAUUAAAAUGAUUAUUUUGCUGAGAACAACAAAUCCCUAUAGAAGAACAUAAUACUAUGGACUUAAAUAACAAUAUCAAGAAAUCUUGGGGUUCAUUACUCAUGUUAUGAGACUUAGUGAAGGUGAGAAUCUGGAGUAACAAUCCUUGGUUUGAUUUUUACUAUAGUAUAUAACUUUGGAGAAAUGAAAAAGAAUGAAAGUCCCUAUUGUUUAACAGUUAUUUCCUCUAUGCAUGGUCACCCAAUAAUUUGAGCAUAAUCUUAGGUUGGAAAACAAGUACACAGUCCCUAUAUUAAUUUGAAUUUACUGCUUGCCCUAGUAAUUCAGACUCUAUCAUGUCUUUAUUGUAAACCAUGGGGAAUAUAUAUGUAGCAAGAUUUGUGUUGUGUUAACCUUGUCUUGGCAGUAAAUGCUUGUGUUGGAAGCUUGCUUAUUUUAGCAGAGACAGGCCUAAGUCUGAGAUGCAUAUUUUCUGAACACAUGGUAUUUAUGAUACUGUGAGUUUUUCCUUUUCCAAAUGUGCUCUCAUACAUGUGUUGGUUUAAAUUUUGCACAGUUCUGUACUGAUUGCUGUCACCCAUAUAAGAGUGUAUUUUCUUUUAUAAAUGACUUAGACUGUCUAGGUCUACUGGUCUCCUUUAUUAACUUUUUGCUAAAUACUUUGCUUAUCAAAAAAUUGAUAAUGAGAAAAAAAUUAUUCCUUUUUUUAUACCUUAAAUGUACUGAAUAGCUCCAUAGAUUAGAUUCCAUAUGGUUUUGUUUUUCUCUAGUCUGCCCUACAAACAUGGUUAUGUUGGUUAAGAUGGUAUUUUCUAUUGAGUUGAGAAUUUUAACAUAGUAGACAAUGUAUAUCAUAAUAAAGAAUCUUAAAUAAUA